GUACGAGACUACAUCACGCGCGCGGGGCUGCGGGAUCGCCUAAGGUUCGGCCUGCGCAUGUGCGGAGGUGAGGGGCCGGGUCUAGGGGAACCACACGCGGCUGUGCCUAGGGCUUCCUUUGUUCUGACGCCGGGAGGUCCGCGCUGCCUCCCAGAGGAGGAACCAGGCGAGAGCGGCUCACGGGGCUCACUGUCUUCGCUGUGUGCGCUAAGCUGGAUGCUCUGGAAAGUACCUGGUCUUACAGAGUUUGAACAAGAUGGUUAAGGAUUCUCCAGGUCUCCUGCCGACUCCUCUCUACAACAAGAUGCCUCAGGAUUGCAGGAACAGACUGCUCAGCAGAAUGGCUGGGAGGUAUGAGGUUGCUUUAACAAGUAAUUCCUUGGUUUGAGUAAUUUUAUUUUGAAAGAUUUAUUUUAUUGGAAAGAUAGAGUGACAGAGAGAGGAAGAGGGAUCUUCCAUCUGCUGGUUCAUUCCCCAAAUGUCAAAAGCUAGGGCUAAGCCAGCCUGAAGCUAGGAGCCAAUAACUGUUCAGGUUUCCUAUUUGGCAGGGACCCAAAUACUUGGGCCAUUAAAUACUGCCUCUUGGAUACAUGAGCAGCAAACUGAAUCAGAAGCAUGGAGUAGCCAAGACUCAAAGCAGAUAUUCUGAUAUGGGAUGUAGCCAUCCCAAACAGUGGCUUAACCCACUGCACCACGACACUCGCCCGUCUUCAUGUAUUUUAAUAUGCUCAGAGAGCUCACAGGUGGGAAUGCCAGUAACAACGGUGGGACCAUGCUGCUCUCUUGCCUUCUAGCACCCACACCUGGAUCUUAACAAGGGGCUGUCUUCCGGGUCUGUUCUGUUCUAUAGGGUGUCAAGGGGCACAGCUAACUGCCUCUAUUAUUCUGCAUACUUAAGGAUCAAGUAAUUUGGUUUGUUUUCAGUUUGGGUUGGCAUCCUACUUUCUAUAAAGUGAGCUGACACCAUCCAUCUACACUUGCUUACCUGCUAGAGGCACAAAUCACAUCUAACACGGGGAUAUACUGUGUGUCAGACACCUGUAGGCUCCUUAGGAUAAUCUUACCAAUCUUAAAACACCCACAUGGUAGACAGUAAGUACUACCAUUCACGUUUUACAAUUAAGAACAUAGAUGAGGCUGAAGGAAGUGAAGCUGCCCAAGAACAAAAACUUCCAACAUUGAUUAAAAACAUUGGUCAUCAAGAAGCCAUUUCAGAAACUGAAAGAAUUUAUAAAAAUAUUUUAUUUUUGCCUUAACCAGUAGU
rnacentral:lncRNA from 1 species